AUGACAGAGCCACCACUCACCACAGGAGUUCUCUUCUCCAGUACGACUGUGAGGCCAAGGAGAUGGAGGGGAAGAAUCGCCCUAUGCAUGCUCCUCCUCCUCACACUGCCAAAGCCAUCCCAUCAGCAGCCAUCCGGAGUUGACUGCAAGUGCUACCGGCAGUGCUACCCCGGGUGCAAGGACAGCAUCCCGCCGUGGCUAUGCAAGGUCAAGUGUGCUGGUGGCUGCCCCGACGCCCAAACCAUUCAAGAACUUCUCUCCUGCUUGAUCGCCUGCAACACGGACUCCAUCUGUGACCAGCCAGCGCCGUCAGUCAAUGUUGGGGCUUGUGCGGAUGACUGCUACAAGAUGUGGGGCAGUGGUGGCACCAAGUAA
rnacentral:rRNA from 1 species